UGUCAUUUAGAAGUAGUAAAACACAUAUUCUCAUUUGUGAAAUUUGAUCUCUUGUGUGCUCUUGGGUGUCCUUUGUUUAUCUAACACAUCAAGAAAACAUACAAGGAAACUUGCACGACCAUAAGCUAAUAGGUUAGAACAAUGCAAAUAAGAUAGGAAAAUUCCUUUGGAUAUGUGCUACGUAGUUGAUCUCUAGGUAAAGUCCUUUUCUCAACUAAACUAUAGGUUACUUUAUGAUGUGAAUUGCCUUUAGUUUUUUUUCAAAGUAUUAUGUGUUGUAUUUAAAGUUCUUGCAUUUAGAACGGUUACUUUAUGAUGUGAAUUACCUUUAGUUCUUUUAAAAGAUAUACAGUACGUCUUUGUAGAUCCAUCACUCACCUCUGCCGGACACUCGCAAGAAUCUUGAGUUCGAAACUUAUGCAGUAGAUUGAUGGUCUCAAAGAUUAAUGAAAUAGUUCUUGCUUCUUUUAAUCCUGGGGGUCAUUGGGCACUGCUGGCCACAAAUGCGUAUGAUGAUACAGUAUUUUACCUCGACUCACUAAGGACAACAUCGAAGUCAACUAUAAGAUACGUCACUGACACAGCAAUAGCGAUAUUUCAGUCACAAAAGAACAUUAAAAAAAGUAGAAAACAAACUUUAUGGCGAACAGUAAAGGCAAGUAUCAACUUUUAAAGUCAUUAUAUUUUUGUAGACUACUAGCAAUUAGGAUUACUUUGUUAUUCAAAUUUGUUGCUUUUAUAUAGUGUCCACUACAAGUCGGGAGUACUGAGUGUGGAUACUAUGUGAUGAGGUAUUUGAGAGAAAUUGUGACUAGGGGAAGCAUUGUCAUAUCCGAUGCGAUUGAUACACGAAGAUCAUACUCACAGGCAGAACUAGACGAGGUGCGAGUUGAGUUAGCUGACUUUUUGGGUUCUUACAUAUGAUUAUGACCAAUAUUUUGUGAUUCUGAAGUAGGAAAUUUUUUGUUGUGCCGCUUCUUUAUGACCUUAAACUUUAUGUAUAGAAAAUCUUAUAAUGCAACAAAAGAGAACAACUUCUUUUAUUAA